GCGAAAACUUUGCAAUGCGAGAAAUCGUGACAAGGGAACUCCGAGCGCCCGUAAAUUCGGGCUGUCCAUCAGUUUAAAAAACUGGUGAAGAAAGGGCCGGGCAAGACCGGUGCCAGCCGCCGCGGUAAUACCGGCGGCUCGAGUGGUGGCCACUAUUACUGGGCUUAAAGCGUUCGUAGCUGGUCUGUUAAGUCUCUGGGGAAAUCUACUGGCUUAACCAAUAGGCGUCUCAGGGAUACUGGCAGACUAGGGACCGGGAGAGGUGAGAGGUACUCCAGGGGUAGGAGUGAAAUCCUGUAAUCCUUGGGGGACCACCUGUGGCGAAGGCGUCUCACCAGAACGGCUCCGACAGUGAGGGACGAAAGCUGGGGGAGCAAACCGGAUUAGAUACCCGGGUAGUCCCAGCUGUAAACGAUGCGCGUUAGGUGCAUCGGUGACCACGAGUCACCGAGGUGCCGAAGAGAAAUCGUGAAACGUGCCGCCUGGGAAGUACGGUCGCAAGGCUGAAACU
rnacentral:rRNA from 1 species